rnacentral:rRNA from 1 species
GACGAACGCUGGCGGCGUGCUUAACACAUGCAAGUCGAACGGAAAGGCCCUGCUUGCAGGGUACUCGAGUGGCGAACGGGUGAGUAACACGUGGGUGAUCUGCCCUGCACUUCGGGAUAAGCCUGGGAAACUGGGUCUAAUACCGGAUAGGAGCCAUUUUUAGUGUGAUGGUUGGAAAGUUUUUUCGGUGUAGGAUGAGCUCGCGGCCUAUCAGCUUGUUGGUGGGGUAAUGGCCUACCAAGGCGGCGACGGGUAGCCGGCCUGAGAGGGUGGACGGCCACAUUGGGACUGAGAUACGGCCCAGACUCCUACGGGAGGCAGCAGUGGGGAAUAUUGCACAAUGGGCGCAAGCCUGAUGCAGCGACGCCGCGUGGGGGAUGACGGCCUUCGGGUCGUAAACUCCUUUCGCUAGGGACGAAGCUUUUGUGACGGUACCUAGAUAAGAAGCACCGGCUAACUACGUG